CUUAUAUUUUUGAUAGUUAUUUUAUAUAUUUAAAUGCCAUUUAACAAAGAAAAAUCAACCAAAAAAAUAAGUUUGCGUGUCACCUCUGACACGCGUGUCAUAGGUUUGCCAUCACUGCCCUAGAUGUUUGCUAUGUUAGAAACCUGAUCAGGCAGUAUCUUUUAAAAUAUGUGAAUAGGUCCCUUUUAGAGAAAUAUUAGGAAAUUAUUUUAUUUUUUUUCCUGCUCCCUCUUUGCUGAGCCCUGGGGAUAUGACUGGAAUAAGAACUGGUUCUUGCCUGGCUGUGGUGGCUCAAUGGUUGAGCCUAUGAACCAGGAGUCCAUGGUUCGAUUCAGUUCGAUUCCCGGUCAGGGCACAUGCCUGGGCCUCGUUUGUGGGCUUGAACCCCACUGGGAGGUGCGGGGGUGCCGGAGGCAGUCAGUCAAUGAUUCUCUGUCGUCAUUGAUGUUUCUUUCUCUCUCUCUCCCUCUCCUUUCCUCUCUGAAAAAAAUAAAAUUAAAAUAAAUAAAAGAACUGGUUCUUGUUUGCUAUGGUCCUGUGGGACUCGUGAAUGGAAGCUCAUUGGUUACCAGAGCCAGAUCUGGGGACAUGUCCCUUGGGUGGCAGCACAAAAGCUGUUGUACAGAUGUGUGUAUUAGCUCCUUCCAGGGAGAUACUGGUGACUUGGACAGGCCUCAGGAGAGAAGGUAGAAAGGUGUCUGCCAGCUUCCUUAGUCUCCAGGAAGACUUGCAGUUGGCUCCUAGUCGUGUUAAAUUAGAAUUCUGACCUUAGGCAGUAUCCUUUAAACUGCAAAACUGGGAGAUGGACAUUUUUUGCCUGCUCCCUCUGCACUGGGGAGAUACCUGCAGGGAAUGUUUCUGCCCGUUAACAACUGCUUUUUUUGUUUGCUGUAGUCUUGUGAGUCUCAUGGACAGCAAAACUGUUGGCUUUCAGAGCUAGGACUGCUCAUGCUCUCACACCCUUGGUGUCUGUGUCCAUUGGUUAUGCUUAUAGGCAUACAUACAAGCCCUUUGGUCGAUCUCUCCCCUGUUAUCCCCACCCUUCCUACCUUCCCUCUGAGGUUUGAGCAUCUGGUUGAUGCUUCUCUGUCUCUGGAUGUUUUUGUUCAUCAGUUUAUGUUGUUCAUUAUAUUCCACAAAUGAGUGAGAUCUUUUUUAUCAGUUUCAUUUUGAAGUUUAUAUUGCUGUUUCUUCAAGUUCACUAAUCUUUUCUUUACCAUGCCUAAUCUUGGGGUGACUUUAGGGGGGCUAUGUUACUUUAGUCAACCUGGUAGGGACUACUAAGAUUCAAUUAUUUAUAUUUAUUAAUGUUAGUGUGACUGUCUUUGUAGGGAUAGAAUGAUAAAAGUAGAAAAAUAUGGGUUAUAUAUCUUUGGAGAAAUGUUUUUUUAAAAUAUGUUUUUAUUGGUUACAGAGAGAGGACCAGAGAAGGAGGAGGUAUAGAAACAUCAAUGAGAGAGAAUCAUUGAUCAGCUGACUCCUGCACACCCCCUACUGGGGACCAAGCCUGUAACCCAGGCUUGUGCCCUGACAGGGAAUGGAAUCGUGACCUCCUGGUUCAUAGGUCUGCACUCAACCACUGAGCCACACCAGAUGGACACCUUAGGAAGACCUAUUACAACCACUUUGGCAAGAAUUCCCAGCUUUUUCUAUUGUAGAAAAGGCAAAUUGAAAUCAUGGAGUGAAAUACAAGUCUCUUCUGCUUUCAUAUGGCAGGGGAGAUGAACAUAAGUCAACCUUGCUUUUAUGUCCCAUGCUGGAAGAUAUGUACUAUAUACUGUACUGUCCCAUUACAGUAUAUAAAUGUACCGGAAUUGCCUGCCUGAAUAAGGGCAAUACCUGUAUCUAAAAUUGAAUAAAAAGCUGGCAGGGCCUGGGCACCAGUGAAGCCUUUCCUCUUGAGAAAGACUCUCCGCCUGGCCCCCUGUAAUUUCCAAAUUCAUAUUUCUUGUCUAGUCUCUUCAUUUGUGCACGGCCCUUCUCCAGGUCCCGAACCCAAGCCAUGCAGGACGCAGCUUUCACAGUCCCAGAUUACUACCCCCUGAGAUAAUGAAGAUGUAGUCAUGUCCUCAGGAAUCCACAACCCAGAGGGAGGUCAGGACAAACAGGCAGCUCCAGGCCCAGAUCAGCUACAAAACCAGCCCAGGCUGAAGCUGGGACCAGCCGCAUGGAAUGACCCCCUAUCCUGGUGCCGCCAAUCGAUCAGUGGAGUGCACAACCCUGAGAGGACACACCGGGAAGCCGCUGACUCUCCUAUUGAGAUCUUCUCCCGGGUCCGCCCCUCAACCCUCCACCCUUCAAACCCUCGGGACAGGGCCCGGCUGCUCUCCCUGCAGGAGCAGCAGAGCCUUUCCCUUCCCUUCAGCUUCCUCACGCCCACGCUGCCAGGGCCCUUCCUUUCCCUCCAUAACUUGUUUCCUAAGCCCAUUUCUCCCAGGAAUUGCUUCCCUUACUUCUGUGAUUUGCCAAAUACAUGUUCUUACAGUUU